CCCCAUUGCUCUUACGCUGAGUUGAUCCUGGCUCAGCUGGAUCGCCUCCUUUCAUACAGGACCUUCGGCGGACGGGAGAGUAAUGCUUAGGAAUCUGCCUAUUAGUGGGGGACAACAUCUCGAAAGGGAUGCUAAUACCGCAUACGUCCUACGGGAGAAAGCAGGGGAUCUUCGGACCUUGCGCUAAUAGAUGAGCCUAAGUCGGAUUAGCUAGUUGGUGGGGUAAAGGCCUACCAAGGCGACGAUCUGUAGCGGGUCUGAGAGGAUGAUCCGCCACACUGGGACUGAGACACGGCCCAGACUCCUACGGGAGGCAGCAGUGGGGAAUAUUGGACAAUGGGGGGAACCCUGAUCCAGCCAUGCCGCGUGUGUGAAGAAGGCCUUAUGGUUGUAAAGCACUUUAAGCGAGGAGGAGGCUACUUUAGUUAAUACCUAGAGAUAGUGGACGUUACUCGCAGAAUAAGCACCGGCUAACUCUGUGCCAGCAGCCGCGGUAAUACAGAGGGUGCGAGCGUUAAUCGGAUUUACUGGGCGUAAAGCGUGCGUAGGCGGCUUAUUAAGUCGGAUGUGAAAUCCCCGAGCUUAACUUGGGGAAUUGCAUUCGAUACUGGUGAGCUAGAGUAUGGGAGAGGAUGGUAGAAUUCCAGUGUAGCGGUGAAAUGCGUAGAGAUCUGGAGGAUACCGAUGGCGAAGCAGCAUCUGGCCUAAUACUGACGCUGAGUACGAAGCAUGGGAGCAACAGAUAGAUACCUGUAGUCAUGCGUAACGAUGUCUACUAGCGUGGGCUUUGAGCUUAGUGCCAGCUACGCGAUAGUAGACGCUGGGAGUACGUCGCAAGACUAAACUCAAUGAUUGACGGGCCGCCAGCGGUUGACAUGUGUUAUUUCAGUCACACGAGAAACUUAACUGGCCUGGCAUCAUAAACUUUCCUAAUGGAUGUGCCUGGAACUAAUACGUGCUAAGUGUGUCAACUCUGCGAGAGUGGUAUAUUCGCGAAAGGCAACCUCUCAUUGCGCAUCCAGAGUACUGAAUGCGGGAACUUGGAGCGCGCAC
rnacentral:rRNA from 1 species